AUUAUGGACAAUGGGGGAAACCCUGAUCCAGCCAUCCCGCGUGUAUGAUGAAGGCCUUUGGGUUGUAAAGUACUUUUGGCAGAGAAGAAAAGGUACCUCCUAUUACAAGGUACUGCUGACGGAAUCUGUAGUAUAAGGACCAGCUAACAACUGACCAGCAUCCGCGGUAAUACGUAGGGUGCAAGCGUUAAUCGGAAUUACUGGGCGUAAAGCGUGUGUAGGCAGUUCGGAAAGAAAUCUGUGAAAUCCCAGGACUCAACCUUGGAAAUGCAUGUUAAACUGCCAAGCUAGAGUAUGUCAGAGGGGAGUAGAAUACCACGUGUAGCAGUGAAAUGCGUAGAUAUGUGGAGGAAUACCGAUGGCGAAGGCAGAACCCUGGGAUAAUACUGACGCUCAGACACGAAAGCAUGGGGAGCAAACAG
rnacentral:rRNA from 1 species